rnacentral:rRNA from 1 species
GUCAAGUCAGCAUGGCCUUUAUGUCCAGGGCUACACACGUGCUACAAUGGCCGAUACAAAGCGCCGCAAUCCCGCGAGGGUGAGCUAAUCGCAUAAAGUCGGUCUCAGUUCGGAUUGCAGGCUGCAACUCGCCUGCAUGAAGCCGGAAUCGCUAGUAAUCGUGGAUCAGCUACGCCACGGUGAAUACGUUCCUGAGCCUU